AUUGAACGCUGGCGGCAUGCCUAACACAUGCAAGUCGAACGGAAACGAUGGGAGCUUGCUCCCAGGCGUCGAGUGGCGGACGGGUGAGUAACGCAUAGGAAUCUGCCUCGUAGUGGGGAAUAACCUUGGGAAACCAAGACUAAUACCGCAUACCUUCCACGGAAGAAAGCUGGGGACCUUCGGGCCUGGCGCUACGAGAUGAGCCUAUGUCCGAUUAGC
rnacentral:rRNA from 1 species